GGAAGGAGAGCUGAGGGAGGGUGAGGGAGGCGGAGGGAGGGUGAGGAGGCGUGCGGGAGAGAGGAUAAGUACCGAGGGAGGCGUGCAGGAGAGAGGAUAAGGUGUGAGGGAGGCGGAGGGAGGGAGAGGAGGCGUUGGCUUUAGUACCGGGUGGAUUUCCCACCUAGUACUAAUGUGCCUUAGGUACUAAUGUCUACCCUUUAAUACCAGGUGGAGGCUCUACGGGGAGUCCUAGGAGACUAUUCGUUAGGCUCGGUACUAAUACUCACAUUAGUAUCGGGCUAAAAUGCAAUCGGUACUGAGUCUCAGAAAUAGAGGCCAUUUCUAUAAAUCCAGUACGUGACAAGUGACCACGACUCCGUCACCAUCGAAGCUUAUGAACCACAUGCAAGUCGUCGUACAUGAACUUCGACAGUAAACCUUCGAGAAAGCUUCUUAUGGAAUUUUGUGUGUGUUCUUACGGAAUUUUGUGUGGCUUUGUAAAUUUUGCCACCGCCAAGAUGGUCUUCGCAAAAUUGCCAUUCGUCUAGCGAACAUCUUGACUUCCUUGUCAUUUCC
rnacentral:lncRNA from 1 species